rnacentral:rRNA from 1 species
UUGCUUUCUCGCAAGUCGGCAAUUCGUGAUGUCAUGGAAUUGCAAUUGGGUUUUAUUCCAAGACGGUUGACAAAAGCAUGCGACACCUCCCGUUUCAUUGCAUCCGGCCACAAUUUCCCAACAACCGAAACCGCUUCACUUUCUCCUCUCCCUCUGCUGUUUAAUUGAUCCUCCAUUCCUCCUACCUGCCUCGGCGCCAACAGACCAUCGCAGGGAGGAACGGAAUCCCAUCUCCCCCUGCCGCUGCUUUUUGUUGCCAUGGACGGCGGCUACCGCUCCAAGUCGUACGCCAGCGGCCGCAUGCAGAUCGAGGCCUAUACAGGCGGCGCGCGGCCGGACUUCCGGUCCUUGUCCUACGGCGGCGGCGGGGCGUCGUACCAGUACCAGUACGAGUACGGCUCCGGAGCAGGGCAGGUGACGACGGUGGUGGAGGAGGAGGUGAAGAGGAGCAAGUCUAAGCGGCGGUGGCUGGCGCUGGGUGACCCGGACAUGGAGCGGAAGCGGCGGGUGGCGGCGUACAAGGCCUACGCCAUGGAGGGCAAGGUGAAGGGAUCCUUCCGCAAGAGCUUCAGAUGGAUCAAGGACCGCUAUCUGCACCUCGUCUACGGCGUGUCCUAGCUACUAGCAGUAGCGCAGGCAAGGAACAGCACAGAGCAGAUCGAUCGAGCUGCAAGAAACAAAUUUCUCCUUUGUUGUUUAUACUCUACUUGUUUGUGAUGCUUGAUCAAGGUCAGUAAAGAUAGGUAAACAUAUUCCUCUGCUUUUUUCUUCUUCUUCUUCAUGAUGUCAAUGACUGUCGUGUAAGUUGUAUGUAUCUGAAAGAAGUUUUGCAGUUCAAUUCUUCAACGAAUCAAUCGACAAAGUGGGUGGUUUGCAUACGCGGUUGCUGUUGAUGUUUGGUUUUUCCUUAUUUCUAUUUUAUGAUGGACCAAUAU